AGAAAGGCAAACCCUGGGUUUCCAUGUCUAACUUUGACUGUCCGUUUUAUAUGAAAAUUUUUUAUAAUUCGUAUUUUCAUUGUUGUUAAAUGAUAAAACAUGAUUAAUAUUUUAUGCGUGACUUGUCUUUUUAUUUUUUUCAUAAUUUUUUCAAAUAAGACGGAUAGUCAAACAUUGGGCACGGAAACCAAGGUUUGUCUUUUUU
rnacentral:pre_miRNA from 1 species